rnacentral:rRNA from 1 species
UAUGCGUCAAUUGAUAAUGGAAAAGAUAUGUGGGAUGCACUCGAGGCCAAGUUUGGGGUCUCGGAUGCUGGCACUGAGCUGUACAUCAUGGAGCAAUUCUAUGACUAUAGGAUGACUGAAGAGCGCUCCGUGGUUGAGCAAGCUCAUGAGAUACAAUCAUUUGCUAGAGAACUUGAGCACUUCGGUUGUAUGCUACCGGACAAGUUUGUUGCCGGAGGUAUCAUCACUAAGCUUCCUGCUUCAUGGAGGAACUUUGCUACCAUGCUGAAGCAUAAGAGACAAGAGUUUUCCGUCCCGGAUCUCAUUGGC